AUGCCCCGUGGACAGGACACUCCGGUGCCCUGAGGCUGCAGGAGCUGAGGGUGAUCUUGCUCAGGUACUUCUGGUGGUACCUGCUGUAUGGGGAAGAAGUCUGUUCCUCCUGGCUGGUGUCAGAAGUAACCAGGCUGAAGCCAUGCUCUGAAAGAACCUGUGCAGGGAGAGAAAGACCUGUUUGAGACCGACCUGAAAGCUCUCGCAGGGGAAAGAACAGGGGGUUCCAAUGAUUCCUGUAGUUCACUGAGCUCUUGUAAAGAAGCAACCGUUUUUCCUGACCUUGACACUCAAGCAUUUUUGAUGGUUCUAGAAGUACCCAUUUUCAGGUAUUAAAUACCUUUCUGUUUGAGAUACAUGAUUGUUUUCUAUUUUCCUGAAAGAAUCCUGACUGAUACAGUAUUUGGUACUGAGAGUGGUUCCAGGAAAUACAGCUGCAAAGAUGGAGGGAAGUCUAAGAUGUGUUGUUAGGCUUGGAUUAGCUUGAAGCCAAUAAUGACCUCCUGGCUAGUGGAAAAUGGGUUUCUGGUAGUCCAUGACAUGCAAUGUCUUAAGUUAUGGCCUGUCAUUCAUGGAAUCAAUUGCCUGUUAAAAGACACCAAGCACCUUUUUGAUAGAAUACUCUGGUGGAAGAGAUAAGUACAAGGGUUAAAGUUACUGAAUGCAAUGGAAAAUUUACAGAAAAAAUACAGCACAAAAUACCCCAACAAUCUCAGGGCUUUAAAAUUUCAACUCAGAGGCAUAAUUCAAAAGCAUUGGAGAAGCAUCAAAGAAGCUUCUACAACUGCCCCUGAAAGAAUCUCUUAUCGUAGCAGAAAUUGAACCCAGGGUUGUUCCUACAAGUUGGCAGAAUUACAACCUAACUUGAAUUCACAGCCUCUUUAGGUGCUUCCAUGAAAGGUGAUUAAUGGGGAAGGACUGCGACCAGGAGUAUUGCACUGAGAAACUUGGGUAUGUUAAGAUGAAUCAACGUACUUCACAACCUUAAAGUCCACUGAGUUUCCCUUCCUUUCCUUUCUGGGAACCUAGUCCCUUCUUGCUUGAAGACUUUGUAAAGACUCACCUGAAGAAAAUACUUACCCAGGGAAUGCUGAUUCUCCCAUAGCCCACUACCCCCCAUCACCUCUCACAGCAGUCAUUACAGUCAUCCCAGUAGAAUUCAUAGAAAUCAGUUCAAAUCUGACCCAGGAGAAGAUAGAAAACAUUAAAAUAACUGCAACAUUCUUCUAACAUAUAUUUGUAGAAAUCUGAUGAUUAUGUCCAAGAAUGGAUUCUAAGGGACUUAGAAUUUGAUUUGACUGGGCCAAAUUUAUCAGUCUAGGUGCACUUAAGAGAAACUUUGAAUUCAGUGGUUUACCUAGAGCAGCUGGAAGUGGCUCUAUUUGGUUGAAGAACUAAAACCUUGGACCAAAAAAAUGGCCUCCGUUAAACAGAAUUGCUUUCCAGAAUAUAAAAGAAGGAAUCCAAAGUCUUAGAUAAGAA
rnacentral:lncRNA from 1 species